UCCCGCAUAGCUCAGCUGGUAAAGAGUCUGCCUGCAAUGCAGGAGACCCAGGUUUGAUUCCUGGGUCAGGAA
rnacentral:tRNA from 1 species